UGGUGAAGCCGGGUGGUGCCCGAAAGGGAACGGGAACACAGGUGCUGCAUGGCUGUCGUCAGCUCGUGUCGUGAGAUGUUGGGUUAAGUCCCGCAACGAGCGCAACCCUUGUCAUUAGUUGCUACAUUCAGUUGGGCACUCUAAUGAGACUGCCGGUGACAAAUCGGAGGAAGGUGGGGAUGAUGUCAAGUCAUCAUGCCCCUUAUGUCCUGGGCUACACACGUGCUACAAUGGCCGGUACAGAAGGAUGCCACUUGGCAACAAGGCGCAAAUCCCGAAAGCCGGUCUCAGUUCGGAUUGGAGUCUGCAACUCGACUCCAUGAAGCUGGAUUCGCUAGUAAUCGCAUAUCAGCCAUGAUGCGGUGAAUACGUUCCCGGGCCUUGUACACACCGCCCGUCACACCAUGGGAGUGGGUUGCACCAGAAGUAGUUAGCCUAACCGCAAGGAGGGCGAUUACCACGGCAGGGUUCGUGACUGGGGUGAAGUCGUAACAAGGUAACCGU
rnacentral:rRNA from 1 species